AGCCAGUCAGAAAAUGGCUGGGAACCCGAGACAAAAGAUUUUAAGCAGCACACUCUGUUCCAAACAUGUCAAGCUCUCAGGGGAGUUUGUUUUAAGGGGUCCCAUCCAUAGAGACUUUUUUCAUCUUAACAGUCUUUGGCUGGUUAGUCCUGGAAAAGUCCAAUACCAGGAGGGGCUACCUGGCAUCACAGACCCAGGGGUUUGUGACUAGUGACUGCCCCCACCUCCCAAAUCUGUGGGAUACCAGGACAACAUAAGCACAAACGCCACCCUUAACCAUCUGUGGCAACAAGAGUUUUUUGCUAUCUUAGCCUAUUCCUGGAAUGAAUUUUUGGGGAUUAUGGGGACUGACUCUUCUAUGUCCUCUCCAUAUAACGCCCUUUGCUUAUAUGGUAAAAACUUACUCUAAACCUGGAAAAUUACCUCCUGGGCUUUCUAUCAAGUAGCUUAUUGGAUUGAGCUGCUAUUGGAGGAUUUAUGGAGAAUUGACUUCAUGCAAUAAUUGUGGUGCCAUCGCUGUAAAGCAGGGCAAGCUUUGGGAAAGGGAAGAUGAGUGUAAGGUGGAUAGGACAACAAACUGGGAUCCAAAGCAUAACAUGAGCCAUGAGGACAGAUUGAACCCCAGGUGAGUUUUUGUUGCCUCUCACCCUAGUGGUAUGGGUGUUCUGCAUGGGCUGGGGCCCAUUGUCAUGAAGCUUAACACAUACCUCAGGUCCGGGAGUUGGAGGAGCUAAGGGGGAAGCCAUGGGAAGUGGAGGAGUUGCAGGCUCAGUCACUGCCUC
rnacentral:lncRNA from 10 species